AUUGAACGCUGGCGGCAGGCCUAACACAUGCAAGUCGAACGAGUGGCGGACGGGUGAGUAAUGUCUGGGAAACUGCCUGAUGGAGGGGGAUAACUACUGGAAACGGUAGCUAAUACCGCAUACCCUCAGAUGUGCCCUGAUGGGUUUGGCUGGUUGGGGGGGUAACGGGUCACCAAGGCGACGAUCCCUAGCUGGUCUGAGAGGAUGACCAGCCACACGGGAACUGAGACACGGUCCAGACUCCUACGGGAGGCAGCAGUGGGGAAUAUUGCACAAUGGGGGCAAGCCUGAUGGAGCCAUGGCGCGUGUAUGAAGAAGGCCUGCGGGUUGUAAAGUACGUUCAGCGGGGAGGCGUUACCCGCAGAAGAAGCACCGGCUAACUCCGUGCCAGCAGCCGCGGUAAUUC
rnacentral:rRNA from 1 species